AUGAGGGAUCUUGCGCAAUGGGCGAAAGCCUGACGCAGCGACGCCGCGUGGGUGAGGAAGUCCUUCGGGAUGUAAAGCCCUUUUCUUCGGGACGAACCGGUCGGGGUAACCCGGCUUUGACGGUACCGGAGGAAGAAGCCCCGGCUAACUACGUGCCAGCAGCCGCGGUAAUACGUAGGGGGCAAGCGUUGUCCGGAUUUACUGGGCGUAAAGCGCGUGUAGGCGGAAGCUUCAGCGCGGCCUGAAAGCCCCCGGCUCAACCGGGGAGGGCGGUCGCGAACUGGGCUUCUUGAGAGCGACAGAGGAGCGUGGAAUUCCUGGUGUAGCGGUGAAAUGCGUAGAGAUCAGGAGGAACACCCGUGGCGAAGGCGGCGCUCUGGGUCGGCUCUGACGCUGAGACGCGAAGGCGUGGGGAGCGAACGG
rnacentral:rRNA from 1 species